UGGGGAAUAUUGGACAAUGGACCGAGAGUCUGAUCCAGCAAUUCUGUGUGCACGAUGAAGUUUUUCGGAAUGUAAAGUGCUUUCAGUUGGGAAGAAAUAAAUGACGGUACCAACAGAAGAAGUGACGGCUAAAUACGUGCCAGCAGCCGCGGUAAUACGUAUGUCACGAGCGUUAUCCGGAUUUAUUGGGCGUAAAGCGCGUCUAGGUGGUUAUAUAAGUCUGAUGUGAAAAUGCAGGGCUCAACUCUGUAUUGCGUUGGAAACUGUAUAACUAGAGUACUGGAGAGGUAAGCGGAACUACAAGUGUAGAGGUGAAAUUCGUAGAUAUUUGUAGGAAUGCCGAUGGGGAAGCCAGCUUACUGGACAGAUACUGACGCUGAAGCGCGAAAGCGUGGGUAGCAAACAGGAUUAGAUACCCUGGUA
rnacentral:rRNA from 1 species